rnacentral:rRNA from 1 species
UACGUAGGGUGCGAGCGUUGUCCGGAAUUACUGGGCGUAAAGAGCUCGUAGGUGGUUUGUCGCGUUGUUCGUGAAAACUCACAGCUUAACUGUGGGCGUGCGGGCGAUACGGGCAGACUGGAGUACUGCAGGGGAGACUGGAAUUCCUGGUGUAGCGGUGAAAUGCGCAGAUAUCGGGAAGAACACCCGUGGCGAAGGCGGCUCUCUGGGACGGUACUGACGCUGAGACGCGAAAGCGUGGGGAGCGAACAGG